GCAAGUUGUCUCCUACUUCUUUUAUUAUUUUUCUCUCUUCUUCUUUCUUCCUCUUCUUGCACGAACACAGUGAGACAGGGAGAGAGAGAUCAUGAGAUUGAGAGAUGAGAGACAAAGAGAUGCGAGAGAGAGUGAGAGAUGAGAUACUGAGAGAGAGAGGGAGAGUCAGAGAUCGAGAGAGUUUGAGAGAGGGAGCUGAAGGAGAAGAAGAUCGGACCCGAUCUUCCGGUGGGUGAGUUGGGUCAACGCCGGCGACACAAUUUCUGGUGAAACCCGGAGGAAGACCUGCGACCCAUUGAGCCGUAACCCGGGAGGAGCUCCGAUCGUGAAGCCCGUGACCCGUAGACCCGAUGCAGCCCGUAGCUCAGGAGGUCUGAUCCUACAUGUCUAGCGACCAGAGUGAAAUCUGGCAGUCCCAGUGGUGGUUUCCGACGAACCCGUAACCCCGAACCCAUCAAAGUCGUGACCCAGUGAUCGAGAGCCAAUGACCCGUGUGUGUGUGUGCAACCUAGCCGAACCGUUACCCGAAGCACCCAGAAACCCGGUCCUCCAUGUGAUUUUCCAACGAAACUAGUGGCGUUUUCUCCGGUGGAUUUUCUGGGAAAAUCCUGAAAGUAAAAGCUCGACCCUGACGUUAAUGGCAAAUCCAGAUGACCCAGUUAGACGAAGUUAAUUCGUUGUAAUGGAGUAGACCUCGCUAAGAGCAAUAGUUCGCUGUGGACCGGCCCAACUUUUAUAGUGUAUAGUAUGUCCCUUUUUGGAGUUCAUGGCUUUGUAAAGAACUAUUAAUAGACAGGAAUAAUAAAAUAUGAAGUUUCAAUCUAUAUGUUGUAAAUGUACGUUUCCAUUUAAAUAUUUUUAGCACUCAAAUUCACGUUUCCCCUUAUAUCAUAAAACGGGGGCAUGACAGGUACCAUGGUCACUUAUUGCCUAGCGAAGAAGGCGGCUGAUAAUUUUGUGAAUGGUUGUUGGUUGGAUGUUCCUCCGAGUUGUAUUGUGAAUUUGUUGUUUAGGGAUC